rnacentral:lncRNA from 1 species
CCGCUGCCCCGCCCGGUCGGAGGCGCGGUGCCCGCCGGGGCGGCCGUGGCCGGCAGGGUCUGGCUGUGCGCGGGGAGCUCGCGGCUGCUCUGGAAACGGCCCGGGCUGUGAGUGCGGUGAGACAGGGAGUGCCCGUCCCAGCUUGGUCGUGCCAUGGAGCACAGCGGGGCCCGGGCACUGAGAUUUUCUGUUACUGUAACAAAGUGAAACAGAACAAGUUUCUUCCAUUUGGAAUGCUUCUUCCAAAAACCCACUCCAAUACUCCUGAACCAUUUCCACAGACAAUAAAUUCCAGAGACUGCUGGGAGCAAGGUUUGGAAACACUUCAGCAGAUUAAGCACUUUUUGAGAACUGAAACCUUUGUGUCAAAAACACAUUCAAUACAAGCUGACUCACGGGAGGCCUGAAGUUAGAGCCUUCUUCCUUCUAUUCCAGACUCAGUCCAAAGAGAGAAAACUUGGAGAGAGAGAGCCUGGAUGGAUGGUCCAGUGGAAGCCUGUGAUGGAUCUCCCUGGCCAGGAGAGUCCCCUGCAGCGAAGCUUAGGCUGUCCUCCAGAUCCCCACGAGUCUUUGUGAUCAAUAGCACUGUCCACAGUCUUUACCAGGACUUUGGCACACGUCAGACAGAGCAGCAGCAUUUACUGGAGCCCAGACAAUGUGGGGCAUUUGGAAGAGGGAGGAGAGAGGUUAGGAAAAAGGAAAAGCAGAUCACAAGUUUGGACAACAUUUGAAUAUUUUGGAAUUGCUUUGAAUGCUGCACUCUGAGCUGUUGAGGUAUGACAAAUUUGGGCUUUGUUUUAAACUGGCGUAGUCUGCUGUUACUGAGAAUGCUUUUAAUAUUUCAACUCAAAUAUGUCCUUUAGGGUGACAUAUUGCAAACAUGCUUUCUGUUUUGUUCUCAAUUUUGCUUUGUUGUUGGAGUUGCAAUGUAAAUAUGCACCAUAUUUUUCUCUGCAUAUACCUCAUUAUAUUGAAGUCUUCUCUAUGCAGUGUCUGCUUCCCAGCACCAGAGCAUACAGGAAUAUAUUGUCUUUAUUCUGAGUUUGGCAAUGAAAAUAUUCUUACUGGUUUAACUGUACAAGGGCAAAAAUCGUGACAGCAGACAACAGCAUCUGAAAGUCAUUAGCAAACAUCUGAAAUUACUUCCUGAGUGGGCCACAACAAAGUUUGGAAUGAGCAAAUGAUCUGCAGGGGUGGCAGAGGGAAAGAAUUCCCAUGUAUGAUAAAGGCAAAGAAAAAAAUGCACAUUUGUUAAUACAAAUCUUCACCCCAUCCUGGUUUCUUCCAUGCAAGACUCUUUUCUGCCUUUACUUAACAUGAGAAUUAAGAAACCCAGGAUUCCUUUAACAACUUACUUCUCCAUUUCACUCAGCUAUCAAUUUCAACAAGUUCAGUACCAUGAUAUGUGCUUCCAGGAAAGUCUUGCUUUCUCAUUUUUCUUUAAUUUGCACUUAAUUCACCCACUCAGCCACUAACCUGUGCCUAUUUGCCUAUUUGAAAACCAAAGAUGAAUUUAUGAUUACUACAUGGUGACUACCAGAAGCAAAAACCAUAAGAGUGAUCUGUAAGAAAGGAAACUGGUAUUAUAUUAUGGUUUUAUGCUGUGUUUUUUCUAAAUCAUGCUCUUUAGACUGCAACAUUCUUUAAUAGAUGUUAUGUUACCAUAGAAACAAGUACUUGUGGCUGACUGUGCAAGGGUCUGUACAGAACAGAAAUGGUCCUCGUUGUUAAUUUAAAAAAGUUCUAAGAGAGGUGCACAGAGGCUUGGGAGAAAAAAUAUAGAUUUUUGACACACAAGGUAGUAUGUGAUGUCACUGUAUGAGCAACCCCAAAACUGGCCUAUUUAUUGUAGAUACCACAGUGCAGAAAUUUAAUGAAGCAUGGAGCAUAAUACUGAAAAAAAUUGUGUUAUGCCUGUUAAAAUGUAUCAACAGUUGAGGAUUUCUACAAUUCUGCAAAACUUUGUAUCACUAUGACCAUAAAAAAAAAUCAGCAUAUUAUUCUACCAUAUGUUCUAUAAUUUGUACAUUAGAUAUUACAUUGACUUUAGGUGUUGAAAUGAGGUGUGUUAUUUUUGUACUAGAGCACUUGUCAUUGCCUUCCUGAAUUUAAAUUUGGGUAUAAAAUAUCUGUUGUUAAAUUUUUAAAUAUACUUAGAUCAUUAAAUUUCAAAACAAAGCAAGAUCUGAAUUAACUGCUAAAAAAACCCAAAAAAAAACCAAGCAUUAAUUCAAUCUGUCAGUUCAGAAUUGUCAAAUGCAUCACUCUAAGCAGCAGUGGUUUCACCAUUUUCCUGUUUGUCUUGAAUACCUUCUUUGAAUAAUGUUCAGCUAUAUUUUUUGUUUUAUUUUAUUUUCUAGGAGAGACAAACUCAUCUUUUAUCUUGAAUUUAUGGGUGCAAAUCAAACAAAUCUCAUUGCUCAGGCAUGGCAUAGUUACAGAGGAGUUUUCAGCACCCCACUGUUAAAUUCAGCAAAUGACAAUGUGUUGCAUGUCUCAAGCUGAAAUACUAUUCAUAUAUUUGUUUCUGUAUUUCUUGGUCCAAUUCUACUGCUAUGUAGAGAAAAAACACACUUCCAUUUUUCUGAAGGUUGUAUUAGAAUAACCACUUUAACUUACUGUGAAAAUCAAUGCUAUUUUUAGUAUCUGAGUUCUUGAAGGUAAAUGAGAUUUGCACUGGAAACAAGAUCUGUUUUCCAACAAAUUUCUUGAGAUGCUCUCAUCUCUAGAGAAGCUGUUUUAAUUUUUUUGGUGAAGAUUAGGGAAGCUAAUCACACCCUGCGAGCAGGUAGGUAACUUUUAUUUACAAAAUCAUUGGUUACACAUAGAAUGUGGUGGGAUAUUAUAUUGUUGAGUUGGGUGGAGGUGGUUUUUUUCCAAAUAUACGCAUUUCAAGAAUUGAAAGCACACAUUUUUAUCUAAAUUCUGACUGUUACCAUAUUUGAGCAACUGUUCAGAUGUGCUAGUCAGGCUUUUGAGGAAAACUGGCCAUGUUCUCCCACAGUUGUCAUGUAUCUGUCACACUAACACCAGCUAGGAAAAUCAAAUUGGAAACAUCCUGUUACGAGCUGUGAACAUCCUUUGCAGCAGUGUCAUUUGCGUCAGAAAGGCUGCUAUUGUUUUCAAAUGUCAAUAUUCAUUUUAAGUGGAAGAGAAAGGCAAAGCAGUCUUUUGUUGAAAGUUAGCCCAUUCAUGAGUGCAGUGAGGAAAACACAAACGGAGGCACAAAAAUCAGGCGAGAUUUAGAUCCUUCAAGUGCUUCCAUGUACCUUCCACCAAGACACUGUGGGUAGAUACAGCUCUUAUAAACUUCCUUACACUCUUUCAAAACUCUACCUAGCCAAAAGGCAUAAAUAGACAUCUACAAUGAAGUGCAUACAUUUCUAUGGUCACUAAUUUAAUUUUUAAAGUGGCAAGUAUGGCCUAAAGUCUUCCCAUGAUGGUCCUUUCAGAUACUCAUCCUCCCAGUCCAUGUGUUUAGAAAACAGACAAUUCUGUAAGCUAUUCGUUCUUCUAGCAUUUAAGGAAGAGUUAUUCUCCUGAUAAGAGAAAGGACAUAUUCACUUAAAAAAAGUGAAUAAAUAAUUUCACACACAGGAACA